UCUUGUCACAACAUCUAUAAAACUGUGGUUUGUUCCUGAGGGCCUGGUUAGUACUUGGAUGGGAGACCACCUGGGAAUACCAGGUGCUGUAAGCU
rnacentral:rRNA from 1 species